UACGUAGGGUGCAAGCGUUGUCCGGAAUUAUUGGGCGUAAAGAGCUCGUAGGCGGUCUGUUGCGUCGGCUGUGAAAACCCGGGGGCUCAACCCCCGGGCCUGCAGCCGAUACGGGCAGACUAGAGUUCGGCGGGGGAGACUGGAAUUCCUGGUGUAGCGGUGAAAUGCGCAGAUAUCAGGAGGAACACCGGUGGCGAAGGCGGGUCUCUGGGCCGAUACUGACGCUGAGGAGCGAAAGCGUGGGGAGCGAACAGG
rnacentral:rRNA from 1 species